rnacentral:lncRNA from 1 species
CAGGAGUCUUUCUGCUAUGAGUAUUAUCUUAUAGAUUUCAAUAAAUAAAUACAAAAUAAUCUGAACCUCAUGGACCCAAAAUCAAUUCCGAAUUCAUCAUUUAUAACAUGAUUUUCUUAUAUUAAAAACUGAUUGUAUAACGUGCUCCAACCUUCUCAAACUCUUUAGCUACCCAUUCAUUUAUUUAGAAUUGUGAUAUUUAUCUUCCAUAGACGUUUUUAUUUAUCUUUGAAAAUAUGGUCGGCUAGGUAAAAGAACUAGGUUAACAAGUCAAAAGCUUGGAAAAACUUUUGUUAUGAAUAUUUCCCGUGAAGCUUUCAU